CGGGGCGUAGCGCAGCCUGGUAGCGCGUCUGCCUUGGGCGCAGAAGGUCCCCGGUUCAAAUCCGGGCGCCCCGACCA
rnacentral:tRNA from 2 species